rnacentral:rRNA from 1 species
UACGGAGGAUGCAAGCGUUAUCCGGAAUGAUUGGGCGUAAAGCGUCCGCAGGUGGCUGUGUAAGUCUGCUGUUAAAGAGUGAGGCUCAACCCCAUAAAAGCAGUGGAAACUACACAGCUAGAGUGCGUUCGGGGCAGAGGGAAUUCCUGGUGUAGCGGUGAAAUGCGUAGAGAUCAGGAAGAACACCGGUGGCGAAGGCGCUCUGCUAGGCCGCAACUGACACUGAGGGACGAAAGCUAGGGGAGCGAAUGGG